rnacentral:rRNA from 1 species
GACGAACGCUGGCGGCGUGCCUAAUACAUGCAAGUCGAACGGGGAACACAGACGGAAGUUUUCGGAUGGAAGGAAGUGUUCUUAGUGGCGGACGGGUGAGUAACGCGUGAGCAAUCUGCCCAUAAGAGGGGGAUAACAGUUAGAAAUGACUGCUAAUACCGCAUAAGACCACACUACCGCAUGGUAGAGGGGUCAAAGAUUUAUCGCUUAUGGAGGAGCUCGCGUCCCAUUAGGUAGUUGGUAGGGUAACAGCCUACCAAGCCUGCGAUGGGUAGCCGGCCUGAGAGGGUGAACGGCCACACUGGAACUGAGAGACGGUCCAGACUCCUACGGGAGGCAGCAGUAGGGAAUAUUGGGCAAUGGGGGAACCCUGACCCAGCAACGCCGCGUGAGGGAAGAAGGCCUAACGGUUGUAAACCUCUGUCAUAUGGGAAGAAGGAAUGACAGUACCAUAUGAGGAAGCUCCGGCUAACUACGUGCCAGCAGCCGCGGUAAUACGUAGCGU